rnacentral:rRNA from 1 species
CCUACGGGUGGCUGCAGUAGGGAAUUUUCCGCAAUGGGCGAAAGCCUGACGGAGCAACGCCGCGUGAGGGAAGAAGGUCUUCGGAUCGUAAACCUCUGUCUUCAGGGACGAUGAUGACGGUACCUGAGGAGGAAGCCACGGCUAACUACGUGCCAGCAGCCGCGGUAAUACGUAGGUGGCGAGCGUUGUCCGGAAUUACUGGGCGUAAAGGGCGUGUAGGCGGCCAUUUAAGUCAGAUGUGAAAUACCAUGGCUUAACCAUGGGACUGCAUUUGAGACUGGAUGGCUUGAGGAUCGGAGAGGGCAGUGGAAUUCCCAGUGUAGCGGUGAAAUGCGUAGAUAUUGGGAGGAACACCAGUGGCGAAGGCGACUGCCUGGACGACACCUGACGCUGAGGCGCGAAAGCUAGGGGAGCAAACGGGCUUAGAUACCCCGGUAGUC